UACGAGGGGGGCAAGCGUUGUUCGGAUUUAUUGGGCGUAAAGGGUGCGUAGGCGGUUUGGCAAGUCUUGUGUGAAAUCUUCGGGCUCAACCCGAAGCCUGCAUAAGAAACUGCCGGGCUUGAGUAUGGGAGAGGUGAGUGGAAUUUCCGGUGUAGCGGUGAAAUGCGUAGAUAAUCGGAAGGAACACCUGUGGCGAAAGCGGCUCACUGGACCAUAACUGACGCUG
rnacentral:rRNA from 1 species